CUUGGCAUUUAGAGGAAGUAAAAGUCGUAACAAGGUCUCCGUCGGUGAACCAGCGGAGGGAUCAUUACCGAGUUUACAACUCCCAAACCCCUGUGAACAUACCUAUACGUUGCCUCGGCGGAUCAGCCCGCGCCCCGUAAAAAGGGACAGCCCGCCCGAGGACCCCUAAACUCUGUUUUUAGUGGAACUUCUGAGUAAAACAAACAAAUAAAUCAAAACUUUCAACAACGGAUCUCUUGGUUCUGGCACCGAUGAAGAACGCAGCAAAAUGCGAUAAGUAAUGUGAAUUGCAGAAUUCAGUGAAUCAUCGAAUCUUUGAACGCACAUUGCGCCCGCCAGUAUUCUGGCGGGCAUGCCUGUUCGAGCGUCAUUUCAACCCUCAAGCUCAGCUUGGUGUUGGGACUCGCGGUAACCCGCGUUCCCCAAAUCGAUUGGCGGUCACGUCGAGCUUCCAUAGCGUAGUAAUCAUACACCUCGUUACUGGUAAUCGUCGCGGCCACGCCGUAAAACCCCAACUUCUGAAUGUUGACCUCGGAUCAGGUAGGAAUACCCGCUGAACUUAAGCAUAUCAAUAAGCGGAGGA
rnacentral:rRNA from 1 species